rnacentral:lncRNA from 1 species
CAGAAAGAAGAGCAGGUAGCCGUUAUGUCACACCGGACGCUCGAUGCAGUGCGUCCGAUGCAACAUAAUGUGCGUCCGGUGACCCCGUUUUCAGUGGAAAACGGUUGGCCGACCUUUGGACUUGGUGGAUAGUAUUUAUACUUCUCCACCUCGUCCAUGAGACCUCUCUUGCCCAUUUGAACAUCAGAGAACCUUGUUGUGG